rnacentral:rRNA from 1 species
GGCGUUGGGAACACCUAGUCUUGUCUCGGUGCGCUGUUGAAAAGAGGAGGUAGGGGAAGGAGUGGCGUGAGCAGGCCCUGCCGCCGCCGCGACGGAUCUUCGACAAGGCCGCCGUACAGAUGGCUACCGCGUUCGAUUUGUCCCCGCAGCUGCCUCGACGCCACACCUGGCGAGGUCAUGACGGUGACCUCAGAGUCCUAAGGUACUCGCACCACUUACAGCUCCCCCAGCGGCGGCCGUUCGGCGCGCGGCACCCUCUCCGUCGGUGUCUACUGCAAACGAGACUUCGCUGUUCACCCACCUGCGCUUCCCAAUCCUAACCUUCCGCGGGCUCCUCUCCCUUUACUUGGGACUAUCCUUUUGUUGUGAACUUAACAGUCACGCACGAAUACGUCUCUGCUCCGUACCCGGACAACAGUUAGGUCUUUGGCCCUGGCGAAAACUGAGCAACCUGCUUCGAAUACUCAAGAUGUUAGAUAUAAGCACCCUUACACCAAAGCAACAGUCCGAACGUUUUUCGUCUUACUUACAAGCAGCCUUCUCUACGUACGUUCUUUAUGACACGCGAACACGCCUGUUUGGUUACUCCUUCUUGUCAGCCAGAAGUUCCACACCCACACUUCGGUACUAGUCUGACGAGGCAGGUUUGAAGUGAACUUAACAGGCACGCACGAAUACGUGUCUUUUCAGUACCAGGACAACAGUUAGGUCGUUAACCCGUUUGGUUACUCCCUUUUGUCAGCGAGCAGUUCCACACCGACGCUUCGUUACUAGUCUGACUAAGUAAGUCCCUCUACAGGGUCAUCAGAUUACUAAAGACAUUGCCUGACAAACAUAGUAGAUAAGGAGACCGUUUUUACAAUUACUGAACAAGGGCCUGUUUUGGUGGGUAAGAAACACAUGACAUUCAGUUACCAAGUUGAUUCCAAAACCGAACCAGCAAGC